rnacentral:rRNA from 1 species
GCGACCCCAGGUCAGGCGGGACUACCCGCUGAAUUUAAGCAUAUAAAUAAGCGGAGGAGAAGAAACUUACAAGGAUUCCCCUAGUAACGGCGAGCGAACCGGGGAA